rnacentral:rRNA from 1 species
CCCUUAGAUGUUCUGGGCUGCACGCGCGCUACACUGAAGCUAUCAACACGUUUUCCCUCCCUGAGAAGGGCGGGUAACCUUUUGAAUCAGCUUCGUGGUAGGGAUCGGGGCUUGCAAUUGUUCCCCGUGAACCAGGAAUUCCUAGUAGACGCGAGUCAUAAGCUCGCAUCGAUUAAGUCCCUGCCCUUUGUGCACACCGCCCGUCGCUACUACCGAUUGAACGUUUUAGUGAGGCAUUUGGACCGACGCAUCUCAGUUUAACCGCUGGUUUGUGUUGGAAAGACUUCCAAACUUGAGCGUUUAGAGGAAGUAAAAGUCGUAACA